rnacentral:lncRNA from 1 species
GCCAAAUCAAAGCUUGCUAUAUGCCCGCACGAACAGGGAUCGAAUAUUUCUUAUAUUUGUCUAGCUUGUUAUUCGAAUAUCGAAUAUUUCUUAUAGUCUGUCCUCUAAGACCAGAUAGCUAAGGCUACAUCAAUUGGCAUUGGAGCUAUGAAGUUGGACGAUGAUUUUAAGAAUAACACUUCAAAACAUGCUCAACUGUUAUUUGCUACGGCAGAAUACGUUAAACAACCGUAGUCCAGGAGCCUUUUAAAGGAUAAAAGCUCUGUGUUGUCUAAAAUAGCAUAAAAUGGCCGUUUUUAUACUAGAGACGCAUUAUGCGUCUGGACGCAUAAUCCGUCUUCUAUAUUAUUCGUCUAGUAUAAAGGAGGGACGAAUAAUCCGACGAACUAUCAGCACUUAUU